CACUUUUUGCGAAGUAUAUUCCGCAUCUGAACUGCACAUUUUUCGAUACUAUAUCUGUGCUUUCAGAAGGUUUUGACACAAUUGGAAUAGAUGAAGACCUCCAAAGCCGCCAAUAUUGUCUAUUGUUAUUAUUGUACUUGGCCCAUAUGUAUGAUAACAGGCUUUUUUCAGAAGGUCCUUUAUUCAAAGCCAUUAGUAGCUUUUUACACACAUCCUUCAAUCGAGGACAUUCACCUCCGUCCUUUGUGCUUAGAGCCGCAAUCUAUCUGUUGUCUAUAUGCCAAGAAAAGUGCAACAAGCUAGAUUUGAUAUCACUGAAAUCCAUUUGUAAAUUCCUGGAGAGCACAGCCACAGUUUCUUCUGUGUAUACCA